rnacentral:lncRNA from 1 species
GAAAGGGAAAACAGGUUCAGGGUCCCAGCCCCAGCGUCAGCAGCCUGCCGCAGUCCUCGACCGCUCGCUGCUAUUGUAUUCGCGGAGACGAGACGACGACAGGCGUCGUACCAUUCAGCCCGGUCUCCGAUGCACUUCACACACACUCCCCGCUUUGACCAUCCUAAUCACGCCGUAAAGCGGUAAAACCCCCCAACCUGAUUCAAACCCCGCCGCCUAAACCCCUCCUAACCCCGCGGUUAAACCACUCCAGGCAUCGCCCAAAACCAAAACGGAACAGGUCGGCGACGCGCCGUGCCAGUUCAAGCCCCCAAACCUCACGAGGCCACCAGGCGAGAGAGGGAGGCUGCUCACGAGGAGCAGCAGCAGAAUCAGAACCAGCAGCGCCGCAGCCCCCGCAGCAAACGGCCCAAUCGCCGGCGCGAGGGGGUGGAGCUUCCCGUCCCGAGGUUCGUCGGCGCGGCCGUUUUCUCCCCGGUGUCCGGCGCCUCGAUCUCGUCUCCUAGCCGNNNNN